rnacentral:rRNA from 1 species
AGGCCUAACACAUGCAAGUCGAGCGCGCCCUUCGGGGUGAGCGGCGGACGGGUUGGUAACGCGUGGGAAUAUACCCUUUGGUACGGAAUAGCCUCUGGAAACGGAGAGUAAUACCGUAUGAGCCCUUCGGGGGAAAGAUUUAUCGCCAAAGGAUUAGCCCGCGUUAGAUUAGGUAGUUGGUGGGGUAAUGGCCUACCAAGCCUACGAUCUAUAGCUGGUUUUAGAGGAUGAUCAGCAACACUGGGACUGAGACACGGCCCAGACUCCUACGGGAGGCAGCAGUGGGGAAUCUUGGACAAUGGGGGCAACCCUGAUCCAGCCAUGCCGCGUGAGUGAUGAAGGCCUUAGGGUCGUAAAGCUCUUUCGCCUGUGAAGAUAAUGACGGUAGCAGGUAAAGAAACCCCGGCUAACUCCGUGCCAGCAGCCGCGGUAAUACGGAGGGGGUUAGCGUUGUUCGGAAUUACUGGGCGUAAAAGCGCACGUAGGCGGAUCGGAAAGUUGGGGGUGAAAUCCCGGGGCUCAACCCCGGAACUGCCUCCAAAACUAUCGGUCUAGAGUUCGAGAGAGGUGAGUGGAAUUCCGAGUGUAGAGGUGAAAUUCGUAGAUAUUUGAGGAACACCUGUGGCGAAGGCGCUCACUGUCUCGAUACUGAAGCUAGGUGCGAAGUGAGGGGACGC